UACAGAGGGGGCAAGCGUUGUUCGGAAUUAUUGGGCGUAAAGAGCUCGUAGGCGGCUUGUCGCGUCGGCUGUGAAAACCCGGGGCUCAACCCCGGGCCUGCAGUCGAUACGGGCAGGCUAGAGUCCGGAAGGGGCGAGUGGAAUUCCUGGUGUAGCGGUGAAAUGCGCAGAUAUCAGGAGGAACACCAAUGGCGAAGGCAGCUCGCUGGGACGGUACUGACGCUGAGGCGCGAAAGCUAGGGGAGCAAACGGG
rnacentral:rRNA from 1 species